UAGGGAAUAUUAGAAAUGGACGAAAGUCUGAUCUAGCAACACCGCGUGUGCGAAGAAGGCCUUCGGGUCGUAAAGCACUUUUUGGGAGGAAUAGGAAGGAAUGUACUUCCAGAAUAAGUCUCGGCUAACUACGUGCCAGCAGCCGCGGUAACACGUAGGAGGCAAACGUUAUCCGGAUUUACUGGGCGUAAAGCGCGUGUAGGUGGUACUGUAAGUAGGGCGUGAAAGCUCCUGGCUCAACUGGGAGAGGCCGUUCUAAACUACAGAACUAGAGGAUAGUAGAGGGAGGUGGAAUUCUAGGUGUAGCGGUGGAAUGCGCAGAUAUCUGGAGGAACACCGGUGGCGAAGGCGGCCUCCUGGACCAUUCCUGACACUCAGACGCGAAAGCUAGGGUAGCAAACGG
rnacentral:rRNA from 1 species